rnacentral:rRNA from 1 species
UACGUAGGGUGCGAGCGUUGUCCGGAAUUAUUGGGCGUAAAGAGCUUGUAGGCGGUUUGUCGCGUCUGCCGUGAAAAUCCGGGGCUCAACCCCGGACUUGCGGUGGGUACGGGCAGACUAGAGUGUGGUAGGGGAGACUGGAAUUCCUGGUGUAGCGGUGAAAUGCGUAGAUAUCAUUUGGAACGCCAAUGGUGAAAACAGGUUGCUGGGAGUGUGCUGACGCUGAGACACGAAAGCCAGGGGAGCGAACGGG